rnacentral:piRNA from 1 species
UGGGAUUAAUGGAAAGGAAGGUUCAUGU